CCUACGGGGGGCUGCAGUGAGGAAUAUUGGUCAAUGGGCGAGAGCCUGAACCAGCCAAGUCGCGUGAGGGAGUACUGCCCUAUGGGUUGUAAACCUCUUUUGUCGGGGAGCAAAAGCCGGACGUGUCCGGCUGUGAGAGUACCCGAAGAAAAAGCAUCGGCUAACUCCGUGCCAGCAGCCGCGGUAAUACGGAGGAUGCGAGCGUUAUCCGGAUUUAUUGGGUUUAAAGGGUGCGCAGGCGGAUUUUUAAGUCAGCGGUAAAAUCGUGGGGCUCAACCCCAUCCAGCCGUUGAAACUGGGGAUCUAGAGUGUGCGAGAGGUAUGCGGAAUGCGUGGUGUAGCGGUGAAAUGCAUAGAUAUCACGCAGAACCCCGAUUGCGAAGGCAGCAUACCGGUGCACAACUGACGCUCGGGCACGAAAGCGUGGGUAUCGAACAGGAUUAGAUACCCUGGUAGUC
rnacentral:rRNA from 1 species